rnacentral:lncRNA from 1 species
UGCCAAUCAGAGCAGAACAUCCUGUUGUGGGAGUGGAGUAGUUAGAAGUUUCAUGGUAUAUCUUUCAGAAAAGAAUAAACUAGCAUUAUAAUUGAGGUCAUUGCCAAAACAUGGUAUUCUCAUGAAAAGAUGUGAUAGGAUUAAGCUGUCAUUAAUGCUUAUUAGCCGGGGUUGGGGGGAAAUCUUUCCUAAACAGAACUUUUAACUUAACUGGAAUUAACUGAGGCUUUUUCUAAGCCAGCAAAACUGCUCAGACUACUAAAGGAGCAUAUUUGUGGGCACUGUCUGACUCGUAUGAAGAUGCACAUGUGAGAAUAGUUUUGCUCUUGCCGCCCAGGCUGGAGUUCUAUGGUGUGAUCUCUGCUCACUGCAACCUCUGCUUCCCAGGAUCAAGGGAUUCUCCUGCCUCAGCCUCCCGAGUAGCUGGGAUUACAGGCAUGUGCCACCACGCCUGGGUAAUUAAUAGCAUUACCCAAGUUUUUGUUAAUUCUGUUGCUAUUCAUUUUUAAUUUCUCAGGUUCAGAGUUAAUGUUUUAGACCUACCUUGUAUCUACUAUGACUUUUUAUCUCAUAGGAAUUUUUAAAAUAAAUGUAGUAAUUAUUCAGUUAAUUAAUGCCAUAUAAAUGAAUCUGAUGCUCACAUGACCUUACCUUUCUUUUUUAUUUAUAGCUAUAUGGUCCAGUUUAGCAUACCUCUGUCAUACCCAGUUGUAGCAAAUAUUCAUUGUUAUUUCCACAAAGAUCUCCCUGUAUUAUAAUGUUAAAAAUAAAGCCUAAUCAGACAAAUACGAU